rnacentral:rRNA from 1 species
AAUCAACGCUGGCGGCGUGCCUAACACAUGCAAGUCGAACGCGAAAGUCCCGCAAGGGAUUAGUAGAGUGGCAAACGGGUGAGUAACGCGUGGGUGACCUGCCUUCGAGCGGGGGAUAAC